GCCAGGAAGAGGAGGGAGGAAGAGGAGGAGGAGGAGGAGGAGGAGGAGGAGGAGGAGGAGGAGGUAGCGAAGGAAGAGAAGGAAGGUGGGGAGGUAGGGAAGGAGAGAAGAGCAGGAGCGCACAUCGAGCUGCUGCCUGGGGAAGCAAAAGCGCUGGAGGCUGGGGCAUCACCAGCGCCUUGGGAACCAUGGCCGAAGCAGGAGAAGGAGGAGAGGAUGAGAUCCAGUUCCUGCGGACUGAGUGGUUUUCAACAACCCCUGUCUGCCGUGUGCUGAUUCCCGAUAACUUGGUUUUCAGAGAUUGAUAUGGCCUGACUUCUUCCUCAGAUUUUGAAAAGGUGUUUUCGAACCUAUAUAUCCUUCCAUCCAGAAAGACAGCAAUGUAGAAUGGGGGAAUUUUAAAUGUGGAGUCAAAAGUCUUGACUUGUUUCCUACAUAUGGGAUAAAUAAAGCAAUUUUAAUGCAAAUGUUUUUAUAUGUG
rnacentral:lncRNA from 1 species